GGCACCCACCUGCUAUUACUAGUCCGCGGAUUAACUGCAGUUGGCGAGUAGGGUGUACAUUCAAGUGUGAGACCUGCGGGACUGUGGCGAAGUGUUGCUGUGUGAAGGACCCCGAGGUGCGGGACAUGGUGGUCGAGGAUUGACCACCAGGCAGACAAGAGACGGAGCGGAGCGUGUGGUGUCGCUUUCUGGCCCCGAUGUCCCUGAGCACCAUCGAGUCUAGUAAUUGUUUGGCUCCCGGUCCCCUUCACCGCCUCCGUCAGAAUCCUCUCCUCAUCCCUGGCUCCGCGCGACUCUCUCCUCUCCCACCAUGUCCUUAAGACUGAUGGUAGAGGAGAUUCAGAUGUUUGUGCUUCAUUAUAGAGAAUCAUUAUAUUUUUAGGUGCAGGCGACAGGUGCAUCACAAAAAGGCGCUGUGUCGAAAUGGUACAUCACCACACACACAUCAUGGUGACAGUGACCUGUGGCAUCCACCACGCAGGUGUCGCACUAAGUGCACUUGGACAGGAGAAAGCGUAGAAGUCCGAAAGGUAGUAGAGCUCGGUCAACCCAGCGGCCAGGACAAUGUCUUCACCAGGAAUUAAUCUGACCAGACUCCUCCCUGCGCUCUCUAACGGCAAGAUUGGAUGGUGGUCUUGGGGUCAGGUCCCGUCUUGCUUUUCACCGUCAGCAGAAACAUGAAUGUCAAAACACAAACAGAGGCGAGGCGGGCCCUGGAGAGUCGUGGUGAAGUCGCCGCCCCACUCAGCCUGAUGGGAGCUGGCCGGCCUCAGGAACCUCCCGCCACGAACUCCACCACUAAAGGUCACUGCAUGUAAGAAACUCCCGUGAAAAUCGACCUAAGGCAUUGAUCGGAUGGAAAUUGAGAGUAAAUACCCACCUCUGACUGACCGCGGCUUGAAAAGGGAUAAAAGGAACGGACGUUGGAAGGAAAAAUAUGAAGCCUGACGCACUGUGUUGAUUUAGGCGUGUUUUUCAUGACGUAUUUGUCCAAGAGAGCUGACAGUUCCGCCCCAAAUACAGUCCUCUCUUGUCCUCACUCCCUCUCUUCCUGUCUCCUUCGUACCCUGUUUCUCCCUGCUUGAAGUCCAUUGCCUCCUCUCUGUACCACUGUAGGUCGCCCCUCUAUCAGCGGCACUCUAACCUCCUCUAAUCUAUGUACCCUUAACUCUCCCUUUCUGCCAGCACGUGGUGUCGUGACCUUACACAUUAGGGAAGACUUUUCGAUGUCUAAAAAGCGUGCUCCAGUGGCAUACUUGUGUGUGUGUGUGUGUGUGUGUGUGUGUGUGUGUGUGUGUGUGUGUGUGUGUGUGUGUGUGUGUGUGUGUGUGUGUGUGUGUGUGUGUGUGUGUGUGUUUCCUUUUGCGUGUGAGGCUUUACAGAAGACAUAAUAUUUUUCAUUUCUUUUUUCUUUGUAGUGUCUAACCAGUCUCUCUCUCUCUCUCUCUCUCUCUCUCUCUCUCUCUCUCUCUCUCUCUCUCUCUCUCUCUCUCUCUCUCUCUCUCUCUCUCUCUCUCUCUCUCUCUCUCUCUCUCUCUCUCUAAGGAGGCUCUGUGUCGUGAGCACUAUCCGUAUGUAUCCCAGAAUCUUCCUCAUCAACCUUCCUGAAGAUCCCUUCCUUCUCUUCCUCUGCUCUUCAUUUUUCUUACCUGCAAUUUCUCCUCCUCCUCCUCCUCCUCCUCGUCCUCCACCUCCUCCUCCUCCUCCACUCGUCCUUUCUUUUCUCUACAUUUUUUCCUUUUUCUGCUCUCUUUUUCCUCCUCCUCAUCACUAUUUCUACCCUCCCAUCCUCCUCCUUCUCCAUCUCCUGCAGUUUCUCGAUUUUUUCGUUUUCCUUCUGUAAGUUUUUUGUCUUUUUCUCUUUUUAUCUUGACGCUUCAUUCGUCUUGGCAGCCAGAGAGAGAGAGAGAGAGAGACAGAGAGAGAGAGAGAGAGAGAGAGAGAGAGAGGGUGGAGGUUGGGGGACAGGGCACUGCACUACUGCUACCACUACAUUAUAUCCUUAAUCCCAAAGUUAUAGCGUGCAUACUCGUAAAGAAACAAAUGAGGCCAAGGGACGCAAAGUCGAUGCAGAAAGCAAGGAGAAAAUUAAUGUCUUGUGUUUGAAAUAUUUGCGAAACAAACUCAGAGAAAGACUUACAGACUAGGGAAAGAGGGAAGGGUGAAGUACACAAGACGCUGAAUAGAUGCAGUAUGGCUGAACCACAAGUGCUUUAAGAAGACGAGGGACGGAAAGACUCUUGGAUAUAUAAUUAAAAGGAAGUCAUAGAAAAAAGAGCAAAGAAGUCAUAUAAAUAUGCGUUUGGUGUGAUAAAUACAAUAAAAACAGGAGCAGAAAAUACAAUUCUACGACAAGGAAGACAUGUGAACCAGCAUAGGCGUGUCAAGCUUUCCUGUACAAAUGAUACGAGAAGAAAUAAUAGCGUGCAUGUUUUCCAAGUAAAUCCAGUGAAUUUCAAGGUUUACUGUAAAAAAAGAAUAUUCAUGACAGAGUAAGAGUAUUUAGCUAAGAAGAGGAAGAAGAAGUAAUAUAUGAUAAAAAAAGAAGAACCAAGGAAGAAAGUAAAAAAGUUUAGCGAGAAUGAAGAAAUGCAAGCUAACAUAUAUGCAUAUUGUGUGUCAAUCUUUCGUGACACACACACACACACACACACACACACACACACACACACACACACACACACACACACACACACACACACACACACACACACACACACACACACACACACACACACACACACACACACACACACACACACACACACACACACACACACACACUCACUCACGUACACGAACAAAAAAAAACAAAUGCGAAAAAAGAUGUUAAUAUAAACGAUGAUAAAGUUUGUGAAUUUCAGACCUUAGUACAGGAAAAAAAGAAAAACUUACCCCUGACUAAGAAAUUCAACGAAAAAAAAAAAAAAAGACUCGAGCAUGUGCACUACAAUAUACACCCAAAUUUGUCUCCCUCGUAUGAAAAGUGUGACAAAAAUUUGGCGGUUUUAUGACGAAGCUGACGACUUUAUGGGAGUAACGUGACACUUUUCGUGAACUUUGUGUGACGAAUGUGACACUUUCAACCUUGGCCAGGAAGAACACACACGCAGCUCGUCACGUAAACCAGGAGUAGGUAAGAAUCACGUGAACCUCCGCACCACGAACUCCAACACUCUUUUUCCUCUCUCUCAUUUCCGAUAUAAUGAACACCGCGAACAGCAUCUCUUUUUCUUUAUAUUUUUUUAAAUCUUAUGAGUAACUAAUGCGCGAGUCACAAUGCCAUGAACAUCACUAUUUAUUUUCAUUUAUCUAAGAAACACGUGAACCAUAUCACCACAAACACUAUGAUUUUGUCUUUCAUUUUUACUAUACGAAGAACACCAUUAACAUCAUCACUUGGAGGUUUCACUGCAGAAGAGUAAGUAGAGAAAAUCAAACUAGAGCGGAUAUAAACCUGAACUACCAAAUUGUUAUUACCUCUAUGAGAGUUAAGGGGAUCAGUCAGUCAAAACAUGGGUGAUAAUCAAGGAGAUAUGAGAAGGAUAAUUUUGGGAUGAUUUUUUUGGUAGGAGCUGUGAUAUAUGAAUGCAACAUACCUGAUCCCUAACGUAACUUAA